AAGACAGCGGAGCACCAGCACCACGCUGUGCUGUGGAGCAUCACGCCCAUCUGAGGCUCAGAGAUGUCAGAGCAGAGAUCCAGGCAGUGGCUCCCUUCCAUUCAGACAAGCAAGGUCCUGAGCCAGAUGAGACUGUGGGCAUCCAGUCUGGGCACAGGGAGGCAAGGGGGAAGUUGCACCUCACAGCUUCUUCUGGAAGACUCCACAGAGACCCCUAGUGGUCUAGGAAGAACAGAACAGCGAUCCCAAUAAGUUGCUAAAUUGUCCAUCAAGGCUGUUCUCAAAACUUCCAAUCAUCCUGCUUCAACCUCCCAGAAUGCUGGGAUUACACUUUUAAAAGGUAA